rnacentral:rRNA from 1 species
GACGAACGCUGGCGGCGUGCUUAACACAUGCAAGUCGAACGGAAAGGCCCUGCUUUUGUGGGGUGCUCGAGUGGCGAACGGGUGAGUAACACGUGAGUAACCUGCCCUUGACUUUGGGAUAACUUCAGUAAACUGGGGCUAAUACCGGAUAGGAGCUCCUGCUGCAUGGUGGGGGUUGGAAAGUUUCGGCGGUUGGGGAUGGACUCGCGGCUUAUCAGCUUGUUGGUGGGGUAGUGGCUUACCAAGGCUUUGACGGGUAGCCGGCCUGAGGGGGUGACCGGCCACAUUGGGACUGAGAUACGGCCCAGACUCCUACGGGAGGCAGCAGUGGGGAAUAUUGCACAAUGGGCGGAAGACUGAUGCAGCAACGCCGCGUGCGGGAUGACGGACUUCGGGUUGUAAACCGCUUUCGCCUGUGACGAAGCGUGAGUGACGGUAAUGGGUAAAGAAGCACCGGCUAACUACGUG